rnacentral:misc_RNA from 1 species
UCUUCUCUCCUUCCCUAUCAGAGCUACCGAACAGGAUUCCGGGCUGCGGUUUAACUAAGAUUUGCCGAGCCUCGUUUGUUGAGAAAGCUUUGCCUAGUUUCAUAGAUGCAAAAAUUGCAUCUAAUCGAAUUGAACCAUUUGGAUCAGCUAAUAGCUUACCGGCAUCUUCAAGCGUCAACUCACGGCGCUUACUGAGUAACUUCAAAGCCCCCUUCCGAAUCUGCGCAUUUCGAUGACUGAGUACAUUUCGCAAUG